GACGAACGCUGGCGGCGUGCUUAACACAUGCAAGUCGAACGGUAAGGCCCUUCGGGGUACACGAGUGGCGAACGGGUGAGUAACGCGUGGGUGAUCUGCCCUGCACUUCGGGAUAAGCCUGGGAAACUGGGUCUAAUACCGGAUAGGACCACUGCCUGCAUGGGGGGUGGUGGAAAGCUUUUGCGGUGUGGGAUGGGCCCGCGGCCUAUCAGCUUGUUGGUGGGGUGAUGGCCUACCAAGGCGACGACGGGUAGCCGGCCUGAGAGGGUGACCGGCCACACGGGGACUGAGAUACGGCCCAGACUCCUACGGGAGGCAGCAGUGGGGAAUAUUGCACAAUGGGCGCAAGCCUGAUGCAGCGACGCCGCGUGAGGGAUGACGGACUUCGGGUUGUAAACCUCUUUCAGCACCGACGAAGCGCAAGUGACGGUAGGUGCAGAAGAAGGACCGGCCAACUACGUGCCAGCAGCCGCGGUAA
rnacentral:rRNA from 1 species